rnacentral:rRNA from 1 species
UAAGGAAUAUUGGACAAUGGAGGCAACUCUGAUCCAGCCAUGCCGCGUGAAGGAAUAAGGCCCUAUGGGUUGUAAACUUCUUUUAGACGGGACAAAACCCCUUUACGUGUAAAGGGUUGAUGGUACUGUCAGAAUAAGCAUCGGCUAACUUCGUGCCAGCAGCCGCGGUAAUACGAAGGAUGCAAGCGUUAUCCGGAAUUAUUGGGUUUAAAGGGUGCGUAGGCGGACUAAUAAGUCAGUGGUGAAAGCCUGCAGCUUAACUGCAGAAUUCCCAUUGAUACUGUUAGUCUUGAGUACAGUUGAGGUAGGCGGAAUGUGUCAUGUAGCGGUGAAAUGCUUAGAUAUGACACAGAACACCGAUUGCGAAGGCAGCUCGCUAAGCUGUAACUGACGCUGAGGCACGAAAGCGUGGGGAGCAAACA